rnacentral:rRNA from 1 species
AACGAACGCUGGCGGCGUGCCUAACACAUGCAAGUCGAACGUGAUUGGAAGCUUGCUUCCAUGAAAGUGGCGCACGGGUGAGUAACGCGUAGAUAAUCUGCCUGAUGAUUUGGGAUAACACUUCGAAAGGGGUGCUAAUACCGGAUAAGCCCACGGUGUCUUUGGACACUGCGGGAAAAGGAGGGGACUUUAGGGCCUUCCGUCAUCAGAUGAGUCUGCGUACCAUUAGCUAGUUGGUAGGGUAAAGGCCUACCAAGGCGACGAUGGUUAGCUGGUCUGAGAGGAUUAUCAGCCACACUGGAACUGAGACACGGUCCAGACUCCUACGGGAGGCAGCAGUGGGGAAUUUUGCGCAAUGGGGGAAACCCUGACGCAGCAACGCCGCGUGAGUGAUGAAGGCCCUUGGGUCGUAAAGCUCUGACAGAGGGAAAGAAAUGUGGGUGGCUAAUAUCCAUACCACUUGACGGUACCCUCAAAGGAAGCACCGGCUAACUCCGUGCCAGCAGCCGCCGCCGUAA